rnacentral:rRNA from 2 species
CCAAGGAGUCUAACAUGUGCGCGAGUCAUUGGGUCUUGUUCAGGCCCAGAGGCGCAAUGAAAGUGAAGGACGCCCCAGUCGGUGUCUGCGUUGGGAUCCCGGGGCUCUUGGCUCCGGGCGCACCAACGGCCCGUCCCGUCCGCCACGUCGGUGGGACGGAGCGAGAGCGUACACGUUGGGACCCGAAAGAUGGUGAACUAUGCCUGGGCAGGACGAGGCCAGAGGAAACUCUGGUGGAGGUCCGCAGCGAUUCUGACGUGCAAAUCGAUCGUCAGACCUUGGUAUAGGGGCGAAAGACUAAUCGAACCGUCUAGUAGCUGGUUCCCUCCGAAGUUUCCCUCAGGAUAGCUGGUGCUCGAUCGGAAUCAGUCUCAUCCGGUAAAGCGAAUGAUUAGAGGCCUUGGGGCCGAAACGACCUCAACCUAUUCUCAAACUUUCAAUGGGUGAGAAGUCCGGUUUACCCGACUGAAGCCCGGACGAUUCUCAGGAUGUGAGUGCCCAGUGGGCCACUUUU